UCUCCCUCCUCCUCCAUCCGUCCUCAUGAGCCGCCGCCGCCAUUCCGCCUCCCUCCUCUCUGUCCGACGACCACGCCACCCGGAGGAAACCGCCGCCCAAGAAGGUCCGGGGACGCCCGUUGGCGGGAGGACUACGCCGCCGCUGGGAGAAAAGAGGAAGAGGAGGUGGCACGGGGGAGACCAGCGGCGGCUACGCCUCUCCCAUCCUCGAGCCCCUAGGCACUCAUCUUUCCCUCCACCUCGUCCCGUCUCCCAUCCUCCUCAACCCUCCGCCUCAUGGCCUCAGCGGUGGCGCCGCCACGUUCUCGAUCCGGCUGGAUCGGUCGUAGGUUGCCCCCAUCUGGUGUCGUGCGCUGUGAUUCCGGAUCGGCCGUACAUCGCGUCCAAGAGAGCUGGAGUGGUUGAGGGCAUCAGGGGAACCCAUCCUGCUCGACCCCCCACUCCUGGCAGCUAUCUGUAGAGAGGAGAGCUGGAGGAUUGCUCCCAGUUCAUCGAGGAGACGCCCGACACAUAGGGUUAGCGAGGAGGAGGCUUCCUUCUAUGACGAUGCGCAGAGGAGAAGACACAAGGAUAUGUGCUGCUAGAUCUGACAUGGAGGUGCUAUUCAAUCCAUCAGUUGCUCGCAGCCUGCUGUGAUUAAGGAGGCCAUGUUAUUUUGGUGUGCGAGAGAGAUCUUGCAGGCUGGCAGAUGCUUUGAACAUGAGCAUGUGGGCAAUUAGUAGUCUGAAGAAGAGACAAAGAAAACAAUCUCAACAUGAUGGUUGUGCUAGGUCUCAAGAAAGAGAAAAGAACUUGUGGUUCAAGCAGCAAGAAGAUAGCCAGCCAAAAUGAAUCAAAACAAGAACAAGCGUCGGGAACUUACAAAUGAGGAAGUGCAGCUGGUAUGGCAUCUCUGUUUUACCAGAGGAAAAACUGCUGGACAAUCAUCUUCUUGCCAUUUUAUAGUUGACUUCCUGCCAUGAUUUGCUUCCUAAAAGAAAUAGCAGUCAACUUGAAAUAAGUAAUUUAUCUAGCUACAAAUGCUUAUUCUAGAGUGAUUAUGUUUCUUCCAAUUGCGGACAAUGUUUUUUAGUUGACACUUUAGUCUACAUAUCUGCUAAAUAUUUACAUGUUUGCAUGGCUAGAAAAAAUCAGAUACUGUACUUAAGCAUUAGUGGUGGGUUAGUUAUUCUACUUCUUUGGGCUAAAUGUUUAGCAAGGACUGCACAUCUGAAACAACUAACUGGCCUUGCUUUUGGUAGAUUUUCCUUGUAUAUAACUCGCUUUUCUAUUUCUCGAGGACAAGAACACCAUAUAGAGAUUUUAGAGGUUGGCCCUGGUUUCAGAUACAAUGCGCGUGAUGGUUUAAAUUUAUUCUGCUUCUUACAUGAGGGUCUAUGCUACUUUCAAACUUGAGCGAAGAUUUUACUGUAUGAUAUAAAUUAAA